ACGAACGCUGGCGGCGUGGAUAAGACAUGCAAGUCGAACGGGAUGAUUUCUAUAGCAAUAUAGAAGUCGUCUAGUGGCGCAAGGGUGAGUAACACGUGGACAAUCUGCCGAAGAGUGGGGGAUAACUCGCCGAAAGGCGGACUAAUACCGCAUGCGGCCAUGGAAGACAUCUUCCUGACGCUAAAGCCGGGGUAACCUGGCGCUCUUUGAUGAGUCCGCGGCCUAUCAGCUUGUUGGUGGGGUAAUGGCCCACCAAGGCUUUGACGGGUAGCUGGUCUGAGAGGACGACCAGUCACACUGGAACUGUGACACGGUCCAGACACCUAUGGGUGGCAGCAGUCGAGAAUUUUUCUCAAUGGGGGAAACCCUGAAGGAGCGACGCCGCGUGGAGGAUGAAGGUCUUCGGAUUGUAAACUCCUGUCAUUAGGGAACAAUUGUCGGUUAUUAACUGUAACCGGCUUGAUAGUACCUGAAGAGGAAGAGACGGCUAACUCUGUGCCAGCAGCCGCGGUAAUACAGAGGUCUCAAGCGUUGUUCGGAUUCAUUGGGCGUAAAGGGUGCGUAGGUGGCAGGCUAAGUCGGAUGUGAAAUCCCAGGGCUCAACCCUGGAACUGCAUUCGAUACUGGUUUGCUUGAGGACUGGAGAGGAGAUUGGAAUUCAUGGUGUAGCAGUGAAAUGCGUAGAUAUCAUGAGGAAGACCAGUGGCGAAGGCGGAUCUCUGGACAGUUCCUGACACUGAGGCACGAAGGCCAGGGGAGCAAACGGGAUUAGAUACCCCGGUAGUCCUGGCAGUAAACGGUGCACGUUGGUGUGGGAGGAUUCGACCCCUUCCGCGCCGAAGCUAACGCGUUAAACGUGCCGCCUGGGGAGUACGGUCGCAAGAUUAAAACUCAAAGAAAUUGACGGGGGCCCGCACAAGCGGUGGAGUAUGUGGCUUAAUUCGAUGCAACGCGAAGAACCUUACCUAGCCUUGACAUGCAUUUCUAAGUUGGUGAAAGCCAGCGAGUGUAGCAAUACACGACUUGCACAGGUGCUGCAUGGCUGUCGUCAGCUCGUGUCGUGAGAUGUUGGGUUAAGUCCCGCAACGAGCGCAACCCCUGUGAACUGUUGCUAAUCCGCAAGGAUGCACUCUGUUCAGACUGCCCUGUGAAACGGGGAGGAAGGUGGGGAUGACGUCAAGUCAGUAUGGCCCUUACGGCUAGGGCUGCACACGUACUACAAUGCCCAGUACAGAACGAACCGAAACCGCGAGGUGGAGGAAAUCCCUAAAGCUGGGCCCAGUUCGGAUUGAAGGCUGCAACUCGCCUUCAUGAAGUCGGAAUCGCUAGUAAUGGCGCAUCAGCUACGGCGCCGUGAAUACGUUCCCGGGCCUUGUACACACCGCCCGUCACAUCAUGGAAGUCACUUGUACCCGAAGUGCGUGCGAUAACCGCAAGGAGUCAGCGCCCUAAGGUAUGAGUGGUAACUGGGAUG
rnacentral:rRNA from 1 species